UACGUAGGUGGCGAGCGUUAUCCGGAAUUAUUGGGCGUAAAGCGCGCGCAGGCGGUUUCUUAAGUCUGAUGUGAAAGCCCACGGCUCAACCGUGGAGGGUCAUUGGAAACUGGGAAACUUGAGUGCAGAAGAGAAGAGUGGAAUUCCACGUGUAGCGGUGAAAUGCGUAGAGAUGUGGAGGAACACCAGUGGCGAAGGCGACUCUUUGGUCUGUAACUGACGCUGAGGCACGAAAGCGUGGGGAUCAAACAGG
rnacentral:rRNA from 1 species